rnacentral:rRNA from 1 species
AUUGAACGCUGGCGGCAUGCUUUACACAUGCAAGUCGAACGGAAACAGGCCGCAAGGUGCUGUCGAGUGGUGAACGGGGGAGUAAUGCAUCGGAACGUGCCCAGUCGUGGGGGAUAACUACUCUCAAGAGUAGCUAAUACCUCAUACGAGCUAUGGAUGAAAGCGGGGGACCGUAAGGGCGCGCGCGGUUGGUGCGGCCGAUGUCAGAUUAGGUAGUUGGUGGGGUAAAGGCUCACCAAGCCAACGAUCUGUAGCUGGUCUGAGAGGACGACCAGCCACACUGGGACUGAGACACGGCCCAGACUCCUACGGGAGGCAGCAGUGGGGAAUUUUGGACAAUGGGCGCAAGCCUGAUCCAGCAAUGCCGCGUGCAGGAAGAAGGCCUUCGGGUCGUAAACUGCUUUUGUACGGAACGAAACGGCUCUGGUUAAUACCCGGGGCUAAUGACGGUACCGUAAGAAUAAGCACCGGCUAACUACGUG